rnacentral:rRNA from 1 species
GAUAACUGUAGUAAUUCUAGAGCUAAUACACGCACCAAAGCCCAGACCUUACGGAACGGGCGCAUUUAUUAGACCAAAACCAAUCGGGUUCCGGCCCGUCUUUGGUGACUCUGAAUAACUACGCUGAGUGCACGGUCCUCGAACCGGCACCAUAUCUUUCAAGUGUCUGCCUUAUCAACUGUCGAUGGUAGUUCACGUGACUACCAUGGUUGUAACGGGUAACGGAGAAUAAGGGUUCGACUCCGGAGAGGGAGCCUGAGAAAUGGCUACCACAUCCAAGGAAGGCAGCAGGCGCGCAAAUUACCCACUCUCAGAACGAGGAGGUAGUGACGAAAAAUAACGAGACGGUUCUCUUUGAGGUCCGUCAUCGGAAUGGGUACAAUCUAAACCCAUUAACGAGUAUCAAUUGGAGGGCAAGUCUGGUGCCAGCAGCCGCGGUAAUUCCAGCUCCAAUAGCGUAUAUUAAAGUUGUUGCGGUUAAAAAGCUCGUAGUUGGAUCUGCAGACUCGGAUGCCGGUCGACCUUCACGGUUCGCACUGGUACUCCAGGCCUAAUCGGCCGGUUGACCCUUGGUGCUCUUAACCGGGUGCCUUGGGCGACCAGCACGUUUACUUUGAAAAAAUUUGAGUGCUCAAAGCAGGCUCAUUGCCUGAAAAUUCGUGCAUGGAAUAAUAGAAUAGGACCUCGGGUUCUAUUUUGUUGGCUUUCAGAGCACGAGGUAAUGAUUAAGAGGGACAGACGGGGGCAUUCGUACUGCUACGUUAGAGGUGAAAUUCUUGGAUCGUAGCAUGACGAACUACUGCGAAAGCAUUUGCCANNAUGUUUUCAUUAAUCANAACGAAAGUUAGAGGUUCGAAGNGAUCAGAUACCGCCCUAGUUCUAACCGUAACGAUGCC